UGCUUUGAUUAAUGACUUAGAUGAACUUAUAAAAGCAUAGAUGGAAUUAUUAUUAUAUCAAAUUGUUUGCUAGAACAAGAUUUAAAGGUUUCAAAAUGAAGAAAUUGAUCUUUCUGUUUCUCCUUUUGACCGCCAUACUACAAAUGACAUCUGCAGCCCCUAGAUGGUGUGGUAAAUUUUGUGAUAGUGAGGAGAAUGGCGGCGAUGGUGGUGGAGGUGGUGAUGGAGGAGGAGGUUUUCCUUAUUUUUUUAUUGGUCAUGGAGGAGGAAGAAAAAGAAAAUGAAACAGUCAUCAGAAGAGUCUAACAACUGCCUUUUUCUAGAGCUCUACUGGUUUUAAUUCGAUGACAUUUUGAAGUAUUAAAUCAUUAAUUAAC